rnacentral:ncRNA from 1 species
AUUGCAGGGGUGCCACCGGCUGAGAUCGCGCAAGCGAAACCCUUUCACCUGAUCCGGAUCAUACCGGCGUAGGGAGCGAUGA